GACGAACGCUGGCGGCGUGCUUAACACAUGCAAGUCGAACGGAAAGGCCUCUUUCGGGGGGUACUCGAGUGGCGAACGGGUGAGUAACACGUGAGUAACCUGCCCUUGACUUUGGGAUAACUUCAGGAAACUGGGGCUAAUACCGGAUAGGAGCUCCUGCUGCAUGGUGGGGGUUGGAAAGUUUCGGCGGUUGGGGAUGGACUCGCGGCUUAUCAGCUUGUUGGUGGGGUAGUGGCUUACCAAGGCUUUGACGGGUAGCCGGCCUGAGAGGGUGACCGGCAACAGUGGGACUGAGAUACGGCCCAGACUCCUACGGGAGGCAGCAGUGGGGAAUAUUGCACAAUGGGUGGAAGCCUGAUGCAGCAACGCCGUGUGCGGGAAGACGGCCUUCGGGUUGGAAACCGCUUUCGCUCAUGACGAAGCUUUGUGUGACGGUAGUGGGUAAAGAAGCACCGGCUAACUACGUG
rnacentral:rRNA from 1 species